GAUGAACGCUGGCGGCGUGGAUAAGGCAUGCAAGUCGAACGGGUUAAGGUAGCAAUACUUUAACUAGUGGCGAACGAGUUAGUAACACCUUGGUACGUACCCGAAAGUCUGGCAUAACUUGCCGAAAGGCAGGCUAAUUCCAGAUGGUCUCGCAAGAGUAAAGUCGCAAGACGCUUUCGGAGCGGCCUAGGUCCUAUAAGCCUGUUGGCGGGGUAAUGGCCCACCAAGGCUAUGACGGGUAGGGGGCGUGAGAGCGCGUUCCUCAACGACGGAACUGAGACACGGCCCAGACUCCUACGGGAGGCAGCAGUGGGGAAUUUUGGACAAUGGGCGAAAGCCUGAUCCAGCAAUGCCGCGUGUGUGAAGAAGGCCUUCGGGUUGUAAAGCACUUUUGUCCGGAAAGAAAUGGCUCUGGUUGAUACCUGGGGUCGAUGACGGUACCGGAAGAAUAAGGACCGGCUAACUACGUGCCAGCCGCCGCCGUAA
rnacentral:rRNA from 1 species